rnacentral:rRNA from 1 species
GUAGGGAAUAUUGCGCAAUGGACGAAAGUCUGACGCAGCCACGCCGCGUGAGUGAGGAAGGCCUUCGGGUUGUAAAGCUCUGUCAUCCGGGAAAAACGGCUAUUGGGGGAAAGUUCCAGUAGCGUGAUGGUACCGGAGGAGGAAGCACCGGCAAACUCUGUGCCAGCAGCCGCGGUAAUACAGAGGGUGCAAGCGUUGUUCGGAAUUACUGGGCGUAAAGCGUGCGUAGUCGGUAUUGAGAGUCGCGGGUGAAAUCCCAGGGCUUAACCCUGGAACUGCCUGCGAGACCUCAGUACUAGAGUGUGAGAGGGGAUAUUGGAAUACCCAGUGUAGCGGUGAAAUGCGUAGAGAUUGGGUGGAACACCGGUGGCGAAGGCGGAUAUCUGGCUCACAACUGACGAUCAGGCACGAAAGCGUGGGGAGCAAACAGGAUUAGAAACCCCUGUAGUCC